rnacentral:rRNA from 1 species
AUUGAACGCUGGCGGCAGGCUUAACACAUGCAAGUCGCGCGAGCGGCGGACGGGUGAGUAAUGUAUGGGGAUCUGCCUGAUGGAGGGGGAUAACUACUGGAAACGGUAGCUAAUACCGCAUACCAUCAGAUGUGCCCAUAUGGGAUUAGCUUGUAGGUGGGGUAACGGCUCACCUAGGCGACGCUCCCUAGCUGGUCUGAGAGGAUGACCAGCCACACUGGGACUGAGACACGGCCCAGACUCCUACGGGAGGCAGCAGUGGGGAAUAUUGCACAAUGGGCGCAAGCCUGAUGCAGCCAUGCCGCGUGUGUGAAGAAGGCCUUCGGGUUGUAAAGUACUGUCAGUGAGGAGGCGUUACCCGCAGAAGAAGCACCGGCUAACUCCGUGCCAGCAGCCGCGGUAAUAC